AUACGACGGUGACAAAAGUCACCUCACCAUUUGUUGGGCCUAUAACAGACAUGACCCAACAGAAUCGUAGAUCGACCCGAUCCAUAUCCGACAUGACCUUUAAACAAUUGGGCCUGAUUCAAAUAUUUCAUGUCUCGAUCCAAAUUCGUAAAUUGGCAUCCAGUCUUCGCGCCGCCGCCGUCAAAAGCCCCUCCGCUAAGUAUCACCACUCAUAGACCGCAACGGGACGGCAAAAAUACACCGAAUCAGAAGGAGAAAAACAAUUUCUCUACAAGCAAUCAGCCGAAGAGGUAGCUACUCCUUGUAUUUGAGUUAAAUUCAUACUUUUUCCCGCGAAAUUCUUGUGUGAUGUAUGGCGACCCGAAUCUGUUUGAUGAAAUGCCUCAGAGAGUUUAGACCAAAUGUAAUAGCUUGAAUUUUGGUGCUAAUUGAUUCAUAUUGUUCGUGGGUAGUUUUGUUUUGAUCCAGAGAUUUGCGUGGAACCGUUUCUUGUGCAAAUUGAAGCUUAAUUUGGAGUGGGAAUUAUUGCCAUUACUGAGAGAGAGUUGGUGGGAAUAAUGGGAAGUAAAACUUUGUUCAAAUGGUCAAAACAAAUCACGACUUCCCAAGUUGGGCAGCUGAUAAAAGCUGAAAAGGACUUGCAGAAAGCUGUUCUCGUUUUCGAUUCGGCAACAGCCGAAUACACCAAUGGUUUCCGGCAUGAUCACACCACAUUUGGUCUCAUGGUCUCUCGGUUAGUCUCCGCGAACCAGUUCAGGUCCGCGGAGGCGUUACUCGAUAGGAUGAAGGAGGAGAAGUGUAGUGUUACUGAAGAUAUAUUCCUCUCUGUUUGCAGAGGGUACGGCCGCGUUCACAGGCCGCUGGAUGCCGUGAGGGUCUUCCACAAGAUGGAGGACUUUCAGUGUAAACCAACCCAAAAAUCUUACAUUACCAUACUUGGCAUUCUUGUUGAAGAAAACCAGUUAAAGAUUGCUUUCAAGUUCUAUAAGUAUAUGAGAGAAACUGGCAUUCCAGCUACUGUUAUUUCGCUUAAUAUUUUGAUCAAAGCCCUUUGUAAGAACAGUAAUUCUAUGGAUUCAGCUCUUCGAAUAUUCCGCGAGAUGCCCAAUAAGGGGUGCACCCCAGAUUCGUAUACGUAUGGUACUUUGAUCAAUGGAUUGUGUAGGAUGGGAAAGAUUGGGGAAGCAAAGGAGCUAUUCAAGGAGAUGGGAACAAAAGGUUGUUUGCCCUCUGUUGUUACUUAUACUUCCUUGAUACAUGGUUUGUGUCAAUCUAAGAACUUGGAUGAAGCUAUGGGAUUGUUUGAAGACAUGUCAAGCAAAGGUAUUACUCCAAACGUGUUUACUUAUAGCUCUUUGAUGGAUGGGUUUUGCAAGGGUGGGCGUUCUGGACAAGCAAUGGCACUAUUAGACUUAAUGGUUAGCAAGCACCAUAAGCCGAACAUAAUCACAUAUAGUACUUUGCUUCAUGGACUCUGUGAAGAAGGAAAGCUUCAAGAAGCUACAGAGAUUCUUGACAGGAUGAAACUCCAAGGCUUGAAACCAGAUGCAGGGCUUUAUGGGAAAGUAAUAAGUGGAUUUUGCAAUGUAUUCAAGUUCAAGGAAGCUGCAAACUUUCUUGAUGAGAUGGUCCUUGGCGGAGUCACCCCUAACAGAUUAACCUGGGGCCUUCUUGUUAGGAUUCAUAAUGCAGUGGUUCAGGGCUUGUGUAGUAGCGGUGAUCAAAACCGAGCUUUUCAACUGUAUCUUUGCAUGCGUACGAGGGGUAUCUCAAUUGAUAUGAAGACUUUUUAUAUUUUAGUGAAAUGUAUAUCUCAGAAAGGAGACCUGCACAAAGCUUAUCGAAUUGUUGAAGAGAUGGUGCUUGAUGGAUGUGUCCCCGAUGAGGGAAUAUGGAGUGCCAUGGUGGAUGGUUUUUGGAAUCGCAAGAAGGUGCGUGAACCUGCUGAGUUGUUGCAGGCUGAGCUGAUGACUGAAGUGGUUGAGCCUGAGACACUAAUCUGAAAGUUGUGAGCUAGUAAAUGUACUACAAUCUUUGGCGCAUAAGAUAAGAGAAAUCAUUAUUUUCUUACUCGGUACCUCAAACGAUAUUCGUAAUUAUUUGAUUAAGAGUUGAGAUGUUUAAAAGUUCUCUUUCAAUGUGCCAUGGACUUUUGAACUGGAAUUUACAAACAAAGAGAAUCGUCAUAUGACCGGCAUUUACAGAACUUGGAGGAAGCCGGGAUGGAAGAAAGAAUAAUUAAGGUUGUAUGUGCGGGGUUUUACAGUUUUAAGUAGCAUGCAGGCAAAUAUGAACUGAUCAAGCAAAAGAGGAGUUGCUAAUUUGCAGAGAGGGGGAAGCCCAUUCCGUGGCGCUUGGUUGGAAACACAACAAACAACAUACUGCAAAUGACGCCAAUGCCAACUGGCAAUGCUGUGAGUACCUCCUGAGCCUCAUCUGACGGCAUUGGAUAGAAGCAAUUCACUACAUUCUGAUCAAAAAGUGCAACAGCUGUGAAUACAAGUAUUGACAUGAAUGCAUGGAGGAAAUCUAUAAACUGCAGAUGGAAAUUUGCAGCGACUUCAGUUGAUAUGUUGGCUGACCCAUCAAUGAUCCAUAAGCCUUUGAAUGUAGCAAACCCAUAACAGACAUUUCCUUUAUUGUCCCUUAAGCUGUCAGUGAAACUCAGUAGAAAACAUGAAGCCCCACAGAGGGCCACAAGGCCAGCAGUCAUGGACCGGCUGACUGAGUCACAGUUGCCCUGGUUUGUAAAUAUGGGUGCCAGAAGCUGAAAUGCAAGAACUGUUCCCGUAGGCAAAAGAUUGGCCAAAUGAGCCAUGCUCUGAAAUGUCUGGCGAAUUGCUUUCUGUAUCAGCGUUCUUUGCUCUUCUGUCACUGAUUUUGGUGCAUCUUGCAAGAGGGGAAGUUUCUGAUCCUCAUCAUGCAGGUGUCGGGAUGCCUCAGCUUUUAUCUUGAUCUCCAUCGACCAGAAACGUUUGAUAAGCUUCUUUUCCCUUAAUGUUUUUCGUCUCUCCUCUCAGUUAUAGCAUUUUGCUUUGUGAGGAACAAUGUUAUAUAAAUAGGAAUAGAAAUGAAACUUGAGUGGAGGUAAAGGGAGGGAAAGAGUAGUUAGCCAUGCCUUGCAAGGAAGAGAAACCUAAAACUGGAACUGAAUUUUAGAUAAAGCAGCUAGCAGAAAUCGGAAGGGAGAGUUUUGGUUUCUUGCUUUUGUUUUUCGCUAACUGUCCAUGAAUCUCUGAUGACUCGUUAUAGACCAUGCUCUUUAGAGUAGUCAUAAGGGGGAGAAAAUUCUCUUUUAACCAAGAUCACAUGCAUUCAGAUACGAAGGCUUACAACAACGAAAGCAUGUCCAAUAGAAAGUGAAUCACCCCGUCCAAUAAACGCUGACCACAUGGUGAUUUGGUAACGAGAGUAUCUCCACAAAGGGGGGAUCAAGUACAAAGAAAUUUGGGAGCCUUUUUUGGUUGCUGAAACGCAAUGCGCAUUGGUUUGAGGCAAGCUUCACAAGAGAAGCAAAUGAUCAUUUGGAGAGAAAGAGAUACCAGGUGCGUGUUCUGAAUGAUGUUUCUGGGUGUGCGACGAUGAAUUCUCAACUUUUACUUAACAAAUGAUGGCUCGCCAUAGCCAAUGGCACAAACAAGCAUGCAGAGAUAUAUGAUCAUGGCAAGGAAAGAUUUUACGUACCUUUCCCUUCCUUUUUACUAAUUCAUAGCUUCAAACUUUUGUUGGGUUGUUUGUUUCACCUUCUUGCAGUUUUCAGUACCAAUUGAUUUUGUUUCUGCUUUUUCCCUAAUUUCAAUGAUGCUAUGUUUCCAUGAGAA